AUGGGAUGGGGUUGGGGAUCCGCGGAUCCCAUCCCGAGGAAUUCCGGGAUCCAGGAGACUCCGGAUCCAUCCCCAGGGACUUUUAUGGAAUUUGGGAAAGGAAAUCCAGGGAUUUUCUGGGAUUUGGGGUUUUUUUUUUUGGGAUACCCCAGGAAUUCCUUCCCAAAUCCCAAAUCCCUCCCCGUUUUCCCAGGGAAUUCCCUCCAUUCCCAGCCUGGGAUUGGAUCCGGAAUGAACCUGGAAUUAUUUGGGAUUUUUUGGGGAAUUAUUUGGGAAUUAUUCGGGAAUUAUUUGGGAAUUAUUCUGGAAUUUUUUUGGGAAUUAUUCUGGAAUUAUAUGGGAUUUUUUGGGGAAUCUUUUGGGAAUUGUUCGGGAAUUUUUUGGGAAUUAUUCGGGAAUUAUUUGGGAAUUAUUGAAGCCAUUCCGGGAUCCAGGAUGUUCAGGAUCCAUCCCGAGGGAUUUUUAUGGAAUUCUGGGAUAGGGAGACCCUUCCUGGAGUCCCCAAUUCCCAGGGAAUUCCCAAAAUUCCUUCCCUUGGGAUGGGGCUGGAUCCAACCCCAGGCUGGGAAUGGAGGGAAUUCCAUGGGAAAAACGGGGAAAAAUUUGGGAUUUGGGCUGGAAUUCCCUAGAAAAACCGGGAGAAAUUUGGGAAUUGGGAAUUGGGAAGGAAUUUCCAGGGAAAAUGGGCAAGAACUGGGAUUAGGGAAGGAAUUCCUUGGAAAACAGGGAGUAAUUCGGGAUUUGGUCUGGAAUUUUUUGGGAAAAGGGGGAGAAAUUUGGGAUUUUUGGGAAGGAAUUCCCUGGGGAAUCCCUGCGAGCAUCCACGGAAAGUUUGGAACCACCAAAAACCUUCCCAAGGAUUCCCAGAUCCAUCCCAAAAAAUCCUCAUUUUUCCUGGGAAUCCAAACCCCAUCCCACAAACCGGGAGCGCCUCCUCCCAAGGGAAAACAAAUCCCUUUUAUAUAUUUUAUUUUAUUUUAUUUUAUUUUAUUUUAUUUUAUUUUAUUUUAUUUUAUUUUAUUUUAUUUUAUUUUAUUUUAUUUUAUUUUAUUUUAUAAUUUAUUUAUAAUAUUUUAUUAUAAAUUAAUUUUUUGGGGGUAA
rnacentral:lncRNA from 1 species